rnacentral:rRNA from 1 species
GACGAACGCUGGCGGCGUGCUUAACACAUGCAAGUCGAACGGAAAGGCCCUGCUUUUGUGGGGUGCUCGAGUGGCGAACGGGUGAGUAACACGUGAGUAACCUGCCCUUGACUUUGGGAUAACUUCAGGAAACUGGGGCUAAUACCGGAUAGGAGCUCCUGCUGCAUGGUGGGGGUUGGAAAGUUUCGGCGGUUGUGGAUGGACUCGCGGCUUAUCAGCUUGUUGGUGGGGUAGUGGCUUACCAAGGGUUUGACGGGUAGCCGGCCUGAGAGGGUUACCGGCCACAUGGGGACUGAGAUACGGCCCAGACUCGUACGGGAGGCAGCAGUGGGGAAUAUUGCAGAAUGGGCGGAAGCCUGAGGCAGCAACGCCGCGUGCGGGAUGACGGCCUUCGGGUUGUAAACCGCUGUCGCCUGUGACGAAGAGUGAGUGACGGUAAUGGGUAAAGAAGCACCGGCUAACUACGUG